GGCUUCGUAGCUCAGCUGGCAGAGCGUCUUGGCGCGUUUAAGCAUACUGUUUUUGUCGCCGGUUCGAAUCCAGCUGAAGCCC